AAAAAAAAAAUUAUGGAGUUGGAACGUUUGCCAAAUUUGUCGCUAGGGGCGCUGUUCCAACUCCAUACAAAUUUGAGUUA
rnacentral:pre_miRNA from 1 species